rnacentral:rRNA from 1 species
UACGAAGGGGGCUAGCGUUGCUCAGAAUCACUGGGCGUAAAGGGUGCGUAGGCGGGUCUUUAAGUCAGGGGUGAAAUCCUGGAGCUCAACUCCAGAACUGCCUUUGAUACUGAAGAUCUUGAGUCCGGGAGAGGUGAGUGGAACUGCGAGUGUAGAGGUGAAAUUCGUAGAUAUUCGCAAGAACACCAGUGGCGAAGGCGGCUCACUGGCCCGGUACUGACGCUGAGGCACGAAAGCGUGGGGAGCAAACAGG